rnacentral:tRNA from 1 species
GCGGGGGUGCCCGAGCUGGUCAAAGGGGGCGGACUCAAGAUCCGCUGGCGAAGGCCUGCGUGGGUUCAAAGCCCACCCCCCGCA